rnacentral:rRNA from 1 species
GACGAACGCUGGCGGCGUGCUUAACACAUGCAAGUCGAACGAAGAGCGAUGGAAGCUUGCUCCUAUCAAUCUUAGUGGCGAACGGGUGAGUAACGCGUAAUCAACCUGCCCUUCAGAGGGGGACAACAGUUGGAAACGACUGCUAAUACCGCAUACGAUCUAAUCUCGGCAUCGAGGAUAGAUGAAAGGUGGCCUCUACAUGUAAGCUAUCACUGAAGGAGGGGAUUGCGUCUGAUUAGCUAGUUGGAGGGGUAACGGCCCACCAAGGCGAUGAUCAGUAGCCGGUCUGAGAGGAUGAACGGCCACAUUGGGACUGAGACACGGCCCAGAAUCCUACGGGAGGCAGCAGUGGGGAAUCUUCCGCAAUGGACGAAAGUCUGACGGAGCAACGCCGCGGGAGCGAUGAAGGCCUUCGGGUUGUAAAGCUCUGUUAAUCGGGACGAAAGGCCUUCUUGCGAAUAGUGAGAAGGAUUGACGGUACCGGAAUAGAAAGCCACGGCUAACUACGUG